UGCAGCCUGCAGAAUUGCUCAACGUCGUGGAAUGCUGGAACGCCGAGGAAUGUGAACACGCUAUGGAAUGUUAACCCCGCCCACGUUGAGCCCGUGCAGUUGAUUCCCCUUCGUCAGUGCAGUUGUGAUUGCAGGAAAGGGGAAGAAUCCGUGGAGCAAAUUUUGUGUCAUUGUGAAUUGUAUGAGGAAGAAAGACGACAGCCAAAGAAGAGAGUACGGUUGAUAGAGGGUGCACUGCUGAGUUUGAAGAAGUUCUUUGGAGGGGAGGAACACACGCAUCAACAAAGAUACGGGACACGUUACAGUUUUAGUGGACGAUGACAAACCAACGCC